rnacentral:rRNA from 1 species
AUUGAACGCUGGCGGCAGGCCUAACACAUGCAAGUCGAACGAGUGGCGGAGGGGUGAGUAAUGUCUGGGAAACUGCCCGCUGGAGAGGGAUAACUACUGGGAACGGUGUCUCAUACCGCAUACCCUAGCAUGUGCCCAGAUGGGAUUAGCUUGUAGGUGAGGUAACGGCUCACCUAGGCGACGAUCCCUAGCUGGUCUGAGAGGAUGACCAGCCACACUGGAACUGAGACACGGUCCAGACUCCUCAGGGAGGCAGCAGGGGGGAAUAUUGCACAAUGGGCGAAAGCCUGAUGAAGCCAUGCCGCGUGUAUGAAGAAGGCCUUCGGGUUGUAAAGUACUGUCAGCGGGGAGGCGUUACCCGCAGAAGAAGCACCGGCUAACGCCGUGCCAGCAGCCGCGGUAAUAC